rnacentral:rRNA from 1 species
CCAAUAGCGUAUAUUAAAGUUGUUGCAGUUAAAAAGCUCGUAGUUGAAUUUCGGGAUCAAUAUGCCGGUCAUGCCUUGGUAUGCACUGGUAUCUUUGAUUUCUCCCUUCUGACGAACUUUGAUGUCAUUAAUUUGGUGUCAUAGGGAAUCAGGACUGUUACUUUGAAAAAAUUAGAGUGUUUAAAGCAAGCUAACGCUUGAAUACAUUAGCAUGGAAUAAUUAAAUAGGACGUUUGAUUCUAUUUUGUUGGUUUCUAGGAUCGACGUAAUGAUUAAUAGGGAUAGUUGGGGGCAUUAGUAUUCAAUUGUCAGAGGUGAAAUUCUUGGAUUUAUUGAAGACUAGCUACUGCGAAAGCAUUUGCCAAGGAUGUUUUCAUUAAUCAAGAACGAAAGUUAGGGGAUCGAAGACGAUCAGAUACCGUCGUAGUCUUAACCAUAAACUAUGCCGACUAGGGAUCGGAUGAUGUUAAUUUUUUAAUGACUCAUUCGGCGCCUUACG